GACGAACGCUGGCGGCGUGCCUAAUACAUGCAAGUAGAACGCUGAAGAGAGGAGCUUGCUCUUCUUGGAUGAGUUGCGAACGGGUGAGUAACGCGUAGGUAACCUGCCUUGUAGCGGGGGAUAACUAUUGGAAACGAUAGCUAAUACCGCAUAACAAUGGAUGACACAUGUCAUUUAUUUGAAAGGGGCAAUUGCUCCACUACAAGAUGGACCUGCGUUGUAUUGGCUAGUAGGUGAGGUAACGGCUCACCUAGGCGACGAUACAUAGCCGACCUGAGAGGGUGAUCGGCCACACUGGGACUGAGACACGGCCCAGACUCCUACGGGAGGCAGCAGUAGGGAAUCUUCGGCAAUGGGGGCAACCCUGACCGAGCAACGCCGCGUGAGUGAAGAAGGUUUUCGGAUCGUAAAGCUCUGUUGUAAGUCAAGAACGAGUGUGAGAGUGGAAAGUUCACACUGUGACGGUAGCUUACCAGAAAGGGACGGCUAACUACGUG
rnacentral:rRNA from 1 species